rnacentral:rRNA from 1 species
UGGGGAAUAUUGGACAAUGGGCGAAAGCCUGAUCCAGCCAUGCCGCGUGUGUGAAGAAGGUCUUCGGAUUGUAAAGCACUUUAAGUUGGGAGGAAGGGCAGUAAGCUAAUACCUUGCUGUUUUGACGUUACCGACAGAAUAAGCACCGGCUAACUCUGUGCCAGCAGCCGCGGUAAUACAGAGGGUGCAAGCGUUAAUCGGAAUUACUGGGCGUAAAGCGCGCGUAGGUGGUUCGUUAAGUUGGAUGUGAAAUCCCCGGGCUCAACCUGGGAACUGCAUCCAAAACUGGCGAGCUAGAGUAUGGUAGAGGGUUGUGGAAUUUCCUGUGUAGCGGUGAAAUGCGUAGGUAUAGGAAGGAACACCAGUGGCGAAGGCGACCACCUGGACUGAUACUGACACUGAGGUGCGAAAGCGUGGGGAGCAAACAGG